GAUGAACGCUGGCGGCGUGCCUAAUACAUGCAAGUCGAGCGAACGGACGAGAAUCUUGCUUCUCUGAUGUUAGCGGCGGACGGGUGAGUAACACGUGGAUAACCUACCUAUAAGACUGGGAUAACUUCGGGAAACCGGAUCUAACACCGGAUAAUAUUUUGAACCGCAGGGUUCAAAAGUGAAAGACGGUUUUGCUGUCACUAAUAGAUGGAUCCGCGCUGCAUUAGCUAGUUGGUAAGGUAACGGCUUACCAAGGCAACGAUGCAUAGCCGACCUGAGAGGGUGAUCGGCCACACUGGAACUGAGACACGGUCCAGACUCCUACGGGAGGCAGCAGUAGGGAAUCUUCCGCAAUGGGCGAAAGCCUGACGGAGCAACGCCGCGUGAGUGAUGAAGGUCUUCGGAUCGUAAAGCUCUGUUAUUAGGGAAGAACAUAUGUGUAAGUAACUGUGCACAUCUUGACGGUACCUAAUCAAAAAGCCACGGCUAACUACGUG
rnacentral:rRNA from 1 species